AAAAAAAAAAAAAAAAGCCAAAACUUGGUGACUGGGGAGACAGGGAAAUGCAUCUUGUAUAGAUGUAGAGAACAUGGAGAAAUCAAGCUGGUACUGACCUACGAGCUUCCUUCCUGCUAGCUGGGUUUUAUAUGCAGACUGUUGGAGAAAACCCAUCAACAGUCAGACGCAGCUGUGAACCUUGCAAAUGACAACAACGACUGACCUGAUGAGAAAGAGCCACGUGUGCAAGAGUGGCAUGAGCACUAGGGGAAAUCCACAGCUCUCUAAUCACACUGAAGCCCUGUCCUACAGAGGAGACUCAUCCCUGGAACUAUAAUCAAGACCACGACCCUGUGCUGAUGAGAUCACAGGCCAGACUACUAUUAGUCUGCUGAGUAGGCACAGAAUUAAAGUGCCUCCUAAGUAUGUCCUUAUAGACAGUGUAACUCCCAACUUCACCAGAGAAGCUUCUUCAUGCAGUGCAUAGUGAUUAAUAGAGAGACGAACAACCAGUCCAAGUACGGAGAAUUAUGUGCCCAUGGAAGGCUCAGUCCAAAACAGGACAUCCAGGUCACACAUUUUCCUCCACAAGGCUGAGAGAACACUGUAGAAGAGGGAGUGGAAAUAUUCUUAAGUCAAAUGUCACGAAAGACUACUGCAAAGGUCUCAGAAGAUUCUUCAAUCCUCUUCUCCAGCUCCAGGACAGCCUCCUCCUUGUUUAAGAGCAUCUGCUGUGUCUGCGUGAGCUCUUCUGCUAAAGUCUUCAACCUGGAAGGAGGAGCCACCAUUACCACCAACACAUUAAAGGUGAUGAUCUGCACAUACACAAACUUAUGAAGUCGCAAAGUCCGAAAGAGCAGCCACCUGGAAUCUACUUUAAGGAAAAAUUGCAGUUCCUUGGUUACAUUAGCCAUGUUCCAGAUGCUAAACAGAAAUGUGGCUACUUUACUUUCUACUGGAUGACACAGAAAACAUUUCAAUACUCAAAGUGAGUAUUCUGGAAACUAGAUAAAACUGUACGUAAUGUUA